UUAAUCCUGAGAUGUACGCGAAGCUUAUUAAUUUUAACCUACAUGAGAAAUACGGGAUUUGCAAAACAGCUAAUGAAAUCGGGCUUCAAGUUUUACUUCACUUUUGUGACGGAAGAUGAUCGAGUUAGUUUGCGUAAAACCCACCUGCGAGAGGAAGGUAUAAAAUUGUAAGUGUGACGGCAUAUUGGGGAACAU
rnacentral:other from 1 species